rnacentral:misc_RNA from 1 species
GGAAAAUUCCAAUGUGUUUUGUGUGUUCUUAAUUUACUUUUAUAAUUAUUCAUUUGUUGAGUUUAAUAUCCUAUUAUCCUAACGUUUUUCACAAACUAGACAAAUUUCUCAGAUAAUUGAUCAGUAAGAAGUAUGCUUUGAAUGUUUGAAUAAAUCUCAAGUAUUACUUUUAUGUUUAUUUAUUCGUAUUUCGAAUACAUAUUGUUGACUGUUGCUUUCAAUACAUUUAAUAUAAGUACUAAUUGAGUGUUUCAUUCUACAAGUUGACAUGGCAUUGGAUAGAUCACCAUUUCCAUUACUUGAUGAUACUUUAAGCUACUUGAAGGUUGGAAUAACUGGAAAAAUUAAACAUAUUGUAAGAAACAAAUACAAUAUAUUUAUUUUUCACAUGUUGUUGCAAGAAUGUGAAUAUAUUAAUGAUGAGGAACUUAAUUUGGCUUUAUUAAAUGAACUAGUUGUACCUUUGUCUAAUGUACAACCUGGCUCAUUACUGGCUUGUCUUCAUCCACAAAAUAAAACAUGGAUGCGGUGUUAUGUUGUAUCUAUUUUGCAUCACCAAGCUAAUGUUGUAUUUUGUGAAACUGGCGAAAUGACGAAAACAAAAAAACUUAAAAAUAUUCCAGAAAAGUAUAAACGUAUACCUGUUAUUACGUUUGAAGCUGAGGUUAAAUGUAUUUGUCCUUAUGGAAAAUUACAACAUUUAAUGGAGAAUUUUAAAGAUUAUAGUGCAACAUUUGAACCGUUUAUAAUUAAACCAAAUAAAGAAACAUAUAAAAUUAUGAAACUUUAUUAUAAGACUAUAUCUAUUGAUUUCAUUAUUAAAAAUUGGGAUCUACAGAAAUACAUAGAUAGUGAAAACUUAAAUUAUAAUUCACUUAUGUUUAAAAAUGGUAGUUCUGUUGUCUUAGCAAAAAAAGAAAUGUAUGAUUGGAGGCAUAUAUUUGUUAGGAGUGUUGAUCAUUUUGUUGAUGUCAGUAAAGAAUUACAGUUACAAUGUGAAAAUGCUUCAUAUAUUUUAAGAGACCUUACUGCUGGAGAUUUUGUUGCAGUAAAAUACACAGAUAAAUUUUACAGAGGCAAAGUCAUUGACAUAUUAGACAAUUCCUGUUUUUCUUUAUAUUUAAUAGAUAGUGGUUGUGUAAUAUCUGCUUCAAUUGAUUGUAUAGUUGAUUUACCUGGCACUUUAAAAAAGAUUCCACCGACUGUAUGUUUAGUUGGAUUAAAAGAUAUAACUUUAAAGCCUUGGACACCUGAGGCGUCUUUGUAUAUUGAGCAGUUAUUUAAAAAUUCUACAACUAUGGUAUUGGAAUACACUGACCAUGAUCCUUUUGGUUUGGAUUCUGUAACCUUAACUGUUAUUAAUAGCAAUGAAGAUGUAAAUGAACAUAUUAAAGAACUUCUAAAAUUUGUGGAAAAUCCAUCAAGUGACAAUGAUCAUGCCAGUUUAAACUGUGUACAUGGUUCCAAUAAUUUAUUUAAUUUAAAAUCCAAUCAAGUUAUUCCUGUUAACUCUCGGGUGAAAUCAGAUUCUUUAGAUAUGCCAGAACAACAAUUAGAAUGUUUAUUGCCAUCUGGCAGUACAGUUUACAUGACUGGUGUUGUGGAUCUGAAAGAAAUAUAUGUUAGAAAAUUGGCAGAUCAUGAUGAUGACCAUGAAAAAUUCUUGGAUAUGGUUAAUGAAUUCUGUUCAUCAGCGUUACCAAUUAAUAGGCCUUUGAUAAUUGGAGAAAUUGUUGGAGCUCAGUCUAUUAUAGAUGAUAAUUUUUACAGAGGUAAAGUUUUAAAAAAAAUUGACGAAGCUACUUAUUUAUUGCAGUUUAUUGAUUUUGGUGAUAAAGAUAAUGUACCUUUGUCAAAAAUAUUUGAAAUUCCCCAACAUUUUAUGACUCCUUCAAAUGUGAUUAAAAUUACUUUAAAAGGAGUAAAUAAUGUUCCAUUGAAUGUAGAUGCUUUAAAUUAUAUUUCCAAUUUAUUAACAACUUGUGAACCAAUGAUAAUUGAAUUUUCUCCAACACAACCCCUUAAAGAUGUUUCUUUAAAAAUAGUGAACAGUAAUGAAAAUGUGAAUGAACGACUAAAUGAAUUACUGGAAAAAGAUGAUAGUACAUCAACUACAAAUGUAACAAAUCAACCUGAAUCAGAUAAUGAAAAUGUUACUGGAUUAAAAAAAGGAGAUUCAGUAUACAUUACUACAUUCAUCAAUGUUCAUAAUUGUUAUGUCCGUAAAGUGGAAGAUGAAACUGAUGAAUUUACUGAUUUUAUAGAAACCGUAAAUUCGUACUGUUUAUCUGUAACCCCUAUUGGAAAAUUACCAAAAUUAAAUGACUUGGUUGGAGCAAAAUCAAUCGACGGAUCUUUUUAUAGAGCAAAAGUUAUAAAAAAAAUAAAUGACAAUAGUUAUGAUGUAAAAUUUAUUGAUUAUGGAAUUGAGGAGAAUGUUAGUUUAUCUGAUAUUGUUAAUCUUUCCUCAGAAUUAAAACAGUUAAUUCCUACCACUAUUUUGGUUAAAUUAAAAGGUGUUCCAUUCAUUAAAUUAAAUGAAGCAGCUCAUAAAUAUAUAUCUUUAAUCUCUGAAAAUGAAACCUUAAUAAUAGACAUGAUAGACAACAGCACAAAUGAAGUAAUACUAAAAACUGAAAAUAAUGAAAAUAUCAACAAUCGUUUAAAGGAAUUUAUGUUUGAAAACAACAAGGAAAUAAACAUAAAUGAUUUGAUUGAAAAUGAAGAAGAGUUCAAAUCAGAUCAAUCUUUAUUAGAAUAUGUUGUUCCUGUUUUGAAACCGGGUACUAUGGUUUAUUUGACUGCUUUCAACAAUAUGGAUGAAAUGUAUAUUAGAAAGUUAGAAGACUACGAUGAUGAAUUUCAUAAUUUAUUAGAAAAAGUUAAUGAAUUCUGUUCAUCUGCUAAACCAAUUAAUAGGCCACUAAUAAUUGGUCAAAUUGUUGGAGCUCAGUCUACAUUAGACCAAAGUUUUUACAGAGGUAAAGUUUUAAAAAAAAUUGAUGAUGUCACUUAUUCAAUACAGUUUAUUGACUUUGGUGAUAAGGAUAACGUACCUCUGUCAAAAAUAUUUGAAAUUCCUGCUGAUUUUAUGGUUCCUUCAACUAUAAUAGAAAUUAAUCUUAAAGGUAUUAAGUCUCAUUCAAUGAGUAUUGAAGCAUCAAACUAUAUUACAAAUUUAUUAUCAACAUAUGAGCCAUUGUCAAUAGAUUUUGACAAUUCAUUGCCUAUUAAAGAUGUAACGUUGGUAAUAAUUAAAAAUAAUGAAAAUGUUGCUGAAAUGUUAAAUAAACUUCUCAAGGAUAAAGAUGAUGAUAUAUCUAAUAAUAUUGUUGAAGAUAAACAUAUGAAAGAAGAAGAAUUAACAGAAUUGCCAAAUAUACCUUCAGCGUCUGAUGUUAUAGUUAGAGAUUCUAAGUUUUAUGAUGAAACUAAUAUGCUAAAAAAUGAGGACAUAGUCUAUAUUACGGCAUAUAUUGAUUCGUAUAAUAUUUUUGUCCGUAAAUUUGAGGAUAAUGUUGAAUUGAAAAAUCUCAUUGAAAGCGUCAAAUCUUGUUGUACUUUAGGAAAGGUUUACAAAAAUAAAUCUCCAGAGUUAAAUGAAAUUGUAGGCGCUAAAAGCUCAGUUGAUGGGUGUUAUUAUAGAGCAAAGAUAAUUGAUAAAACUGAUGAAAAAACUUAUGAAAUGAUUUUUAUUGAUUUUGGUUUUGAAGAAAGUGUGAAUGUUGCUAAUAUUGUUGCACUACCUAUACAUCUACAACAGGUGACUCCAACUAUUACCAAAGUUAGGCUUAAAGGUGCAUGUUUUGAAGAACUAAAUUCAGAAGGCUAUAAUUAUUUAGAGAGUUUGAUGAUAAAUUGUGAAUUAAUGAAAAUAGAGUUUGAAAAUUUAAAUGAAGUAAAGUUAACUGUCAUUAGCCAAAACAUAAAUGUGAUAGAUCAUUUAAACAAAUUACACGAACACUGCAUCACAAUGGAUAAUACUAUCAUUAAUAAUUCUUUGCAACUCAAUUCUGGUAUGAAGUAUAUAUCUAACGACAUCAGUGUCCCGCUAAUACCACCGUUGACUAAUAAAAGCAUAGUUACUAUUCAUGCAUUUAUUAGUGUAAAGGAUAUUUAUAUCAGUGUGCCUUUCAAUAAAGCUGAAGUGGAUAAGUUUUUAAAAGAUUUUUCGGUCUAUUGUUUGACUUCUCAACCUAUUACUAUAAACCCAGUUGUAGGAGAAGUUUUUGGAAUCAGAUCAUCUACUGAUAAUUCAUUUAACAGGGGUGCUGUUGAAGAAAAGUUGAACGAAAAUCAAUACAAAGUAGUUCUCUUUGAUUUAGGUACUAAAGAUAUUGUGUCGGCCGAUAGUUUUGUGGAAAUUCCAGAACACUUAAAACAGGUUCCGCGUACAAUUUAUUCAAUACGUCUUAAAGGUGUUGAUUCUGUUGUUCUCAACACCCAAGCAAUGUCUUAUGUGAAUAUGCUCUGUGAAAACCUGCCUUUAAUUAUUGAAUUUGACGAGAAAAGUCCAAAUGGAUUAAAUGCCGUGACAUUGACUACUAUUAAAACCCAACAAAAUGUUAACAAUCAUCUGAUACAGCUUUUAGCCCAAAAAGAAAGAGAUUCUCCAGAAACGGUACAGAUGUUAAGCAAAGGAGAUAUAGUUUAUAUUUCUACGUUUGUGGAUCUAUGUGCUAUUUAUGUUAGACGUAUCAACAACGGCACGGAUAAAUUUAAAUCAUUCUUGGAGAAUUUUUCAUCUUAUUGCGCUUUAGAAAAUCCUAUUGAAAAUGAUCCUAAAGUUGGUGAAAUAAUUGCGGCAAAACAACCAGGUGGAUCUAAAUUCUACAGAGCUGAAGUUAUUUCUAGAGUAGAUAAUAACAAUUUUAAUGUCUGUUUUAUUGAUUUUGGAUCCUGGGGUACUGUACACAAGAGUAAUAUAGUACAGCCGUCCGAAUCGCAGCUACAAAAUUGUCCGCCUACAUUUAUGGUCGGUUUACAUGGACUAGACGCAGAACCUGCUAAUGCCACAAUAUUGUACUAUAUAAAUAACAUCAGCAAAACCGAUACAUUUGUAAUUGAUUCUAUCACUGAACAAAACAAAGUCGUAUUGAUAUCAGUCGACACACACUGUGAUAUAAAUAAAGAAGUAAAGAAACUUUUAAACAACAGACAUAUUGAGGGGCAACACAUUCAAAACGAUGUAUACGCCAAUGGUGAUAUUAAUAUAGAUACUGAAAAAUGUGUCAUAAAGUACUAUAAACCACCUUUGGACAUCGCCACUCAGGUUUGGGUCGCCGAAAAAAUAUCUUCUUCAAGGUACUUGGUGCAUACUUGCGAAAGUCGUCUUGAAUUCAUACAAUUAGAGAAUCGAAUCUUUGAAGAUAGUAAAACAUUCGAAUCUGUUAAAUCUGUCAGUGUUAAUAUGCCAUGCAUCGUGUACUUCAGUCCCAGCUGGUAUCGUGGAGAAGUGUUGGAAGUAAUUGAUAAAGUCACAGCAAAAGUUGGUCUCGUGGACGUUGGAAAUUUCAGUGUCGUUCGCAGCAUCAAAGAAAUUUUCCACAUGCCGUCGAAAUACAAAGGAAAAUCGCUGUUAGUGAAUAUCGAAAUACAACCAGAACCGCAAGAAAAAUUAUCAGUCACGACUUUCAAAAUCGUUGCUAAAAAACACUUGGACAAUGUCACAGUGGUAGAAGUAUUGCUGGGGCCUACUGUAGAUCAAUCUUACGACGAUCUGGUUCGUAGUGUACUACUUCAUAGAUAAUGUCGGGCUACCGUCGUUUUCUUCGACGCCCAUCCCCGAAGAUUCCGGCCAGUUUCAGUUCAACAACAGCCGCAAUGAGUCAAAUCUACUAUGUACAACUCUGCGUCAUGACACAACUGGUGUCUCCGAGCA